UUUUAUGGAGAGUUUGAUCCUGGCUCAGGAUGAACGCUGGCGGCGUGCCUAAUACAUGCAAGUCGAGCGAACGGACGAGAAGCUUGCUUCUCUGAUGUUAGCGGCGGACGGGUGAGUAACACGUGGAUAACCUACCUAUAAGACUGGGAUAACUUCGGGAAACCGGAGCUAAU
rnacentral:rRNA from 1 species